GCUCCACUUCCUCUCCCCACGAUGUCCACAAGAAACUGACGGGUUCCCUUUUAAAGUUGCUGCCCCACUCAUUUUAUUCCCAUCGUCCUCCCAUAUGGAUGGAUGUCUGCCAUACGACGCUCAUACUGCUGCCAGUGCCUUCCAUUUAAAUCCUUCGGGUUUCUUCUCGGCUACCUUGGGAUCGAGCUGCUGUUUUCUUACUGAAGAUUACUCCCCACACACUCUCCAAUAUGAAGGCACGCUCCAAUCUGAAGGUAUAUGCAAAUUCAAAUGUUUUAUGGCGAAGCAUGUUGGCUCGCUUCCUUUUUUAUUGAGGUUCCACAAUAGUUCUUCUACACUUCCCUCUGUGUAAUUGUUCCAUGUAGAUUUUAGGUAAAGAACACAAACUAUGGAUGCAUUAAUCGAUUAUUCUCGAGUUUCUUUUGUUUGGUCGACAAAGAAUCACUGAAACUUAAUAGUGUGCUGGAGAUUACGAAUAGAUAGAAAUUGUGAAGAUAAACUUUUCAUGCUACUUUUCCCAUUUUAUUUGCUUUUAGGCACAGUGAAGAGUUUCCUGGUGUCACAAGCUUACUCCAAAUAUCACAUAUACAAGUGUGUAAAGACUAUCUAGCACAUGCUCAUCGGUGCUUCCGUCGGACUGCGCAUCAUGGGGUCGAAGCCUCCUGAUCGAGGUGCAUGCUUCAAGAUAAAUCAACCUUGCGGUCAUGGUGAUGUUGAACUCUCCCUUCAUCUCCAUCUGAUGCAUCACACAGCUGGCUCUACGGUUAUUAUGAUGUUUUCUGUUUCUCCAUCUCGCUGCCAGCUUGCAGCCUAAGCUUUACAUAAUGCAGAAGCAUGCAUAGUUGCGCAUCAGAGAAGGCAAAAAUAAUAAUAAUCAGAGGUGCCUAGGUAUACUAUCAUGAAAGACAACCCAAAAUAAAUAGCAGUAUGUUGCACAAAAUUGUUCCGCUGAGAAGACUAAAAAGUGAGUCUCUUGAUUUAUAGGUGACCCUUUUAUUAUAGAAAAUCAGAUUAUGUGUAAACCCAUGUUUUAUAUAAUUUUUCAAUGGAAUGCACAACAAUAGUUUCUACUAUUA